rnacentral:rRNA from 1 species
GACAGAGGAGGCAAGCGCUGUUCGGCAUUAUUGGGCUUAAAGCGCGGGUAGGCGGCCGCGUAAGUGCUUUGUGAAAGUACACGGCUCAACCGUGGAAUUGCAGGGCAUACUGCGCGGCUUGAGGUCGGUAGAGGUGGCCGGACCUCUAGGUGGAGCGGUGAAAUGCGUAGAUAUCUAGAGGAAUGCCGGAGGCGAAAGCGGGCCACUGGGCCGAUUCUGACGCUUAGACGCGAAAGCGUGGUGAGCAAACAGG